rnacentral:rRNA from 1 species
CACGUAGGGCGCGAGCGUUGUCCGGAAUUAUUGGGCGUAAAGAGCUCGUAGGCGGCCUGUUGCGUCCGCUGUGAAAGCCCGGGGCUUAACCCCGGGUCUGCAGUGGAUACGGGCAGGCUAGAGGUAGGUAGGGGAGAAUGGAAUUCCCGGUGUAGCGGUGAAAUGCGCAGAUAUCGGGAGGAACACCGGUGGCGAAGGCGGUCCUCUGGGCCUUACCUGACGCUGAGGAGCGAAAGCGUGGGGAGCGAACAGG